UAUUUACAUCACUAGUGUUUUGUUUGUUUUAAUUUAUUUUUGUGCCUAUACAAAUAUCGUGUUUAAAAAAAUCGCAAAUAUUUUUGCAAAUAAUUAACAAAAAAAUAAUGGAUGAGGAAGAGUUUUUAGAGAUUUUGUCCAGCAAUCCAGUUUUACAGGAAAUAAAUGAAAAAUUCUUCCAAAAGACAAAGAAGUGAAAAUUGGUGUGAGGUGGACAAGGAGCUGCUUAAGGAAUUGAUAAAAAAAAAGAGUUAAAGAUGUCGAAAAUAAAAAUACGGAUAUAGAAAAAAAUUUUAAUAGCCUUUGUUCGUCUGAAAAAAGGACAAUUCACCAAUUAAAGUCUCAAUGGACUUCCAUAAAAGUAAAUGCAAAAAAGGUAGUAUCGGAACACCGAGAAAGUGUGAAAAAACCGGAGGGGGACAAGCUCCCACAGAAAUGCCAUUAUGUAGUACUGAUAUAAGUGUAUGGCUACCUAAUGAAUUUGUUAUUGAUAACAAUCAAUACGAUUCUGAUGUCAUAUUGAUAAGUGUAUCCAUAUCCAUUGUUCUUUAACACUUAAAAAUUCUUUUAUGUCAAACAAAACAAAAGGCGGAAAAACUUUGUACAAAACAUAAACAAAUACCAA